AUAAAUUUCACAAUAUUUAUAUAUUAUAUAAAUUUCUUUCCCCCAAUCUUCUUCCCCAAAACUAUCGAUUUCUCCUCCUCCUCCUUCAAUUUCUUCCCCAAUCUCUCCUCCUCCCAACUCGCAUGACCCAUCCACCUCACGAUUUCUCCCUCCGUUGCUUUCUAUAUAAGUUGUUUCUAGUACACAAGGAGUCCAAGAUCAAUAACAUACCCCCAAACAGUUGAUGGGUCGUUCAAAAACUGGAUACGCCACUGAUCUUUGGUAUUCUAAAAUUAUUGUUUAAUAUUGAUUUUUGAUGUUAUAUUGCAAGUUAGUUUAUCAAGCUUCGAUCUUUAGUUUUGCAAAAUAGGAUUCGAGCUAAAUCUUAUUCUCACUUGGCGAGCUGAGUCCGAGCUUAGCUUUACUUGAUUCGAUUUGUUAAACACACUACGGAUGAACGAGACUAAAAUUGUUGGAGCUUUAUUCGGUGAGCUUGAAUUAAUUUUAAGUUCUACUACACUAUUUUAAUAUCUUGACAUAUAUAUAGGAGAGAUCUUCGGCAAAAAAAAUUUUUCGCCUUCAGCGAAUCUUGCCCCCCUGCCGGGGAAUCCUGGAUACGCCACUGGCUACAAACCUUACGUAAUCCAUUAAGGCUUGCAACCUGACUUAGUGCGUCCACCUGAUCAUAACAGUCUAAAACCAUCUAAUAGAAUAAUGAACCUCAAAUAUAUAUAUUGGUUCGAUGGGUGCGCUCAGUCGCACCCAAUCUGAUCGAAUUUACUAGAACCAGGCCAUUUAGUCUGACUACCAAUUUAUGGUGAGAGAUUUUGUACCCAUCCAAUAUUUAAUAUGUACAUGAUACAGGCAUUAGGCAUUAUUAGAAAGUUUCUAAUAAUAAGCCCACGGCCCACCGAACAUCAAAGUUUCAAACAUAUGGUAACAUUAUUAAGUGGGCCUCUUCUCGACCAAACUUAAUGUCGGCCCAUUUUCUACUUUUUUUUUGCUAUAUUUACAAUAAAUAUCCAUCCAUAAAAGCUCUCAUCACUCAUCAAGUCAUCAGGGUUCAAAGAUAAUGCAUAUUUGAUCACCUCUUAUCACAAGCAAAAAAAAAAAUAGUGGUCAGUCGACCUUUGCAAUUUUUCCGACGACGAAGUUUUUGUGAUCUUUUUUUGAAUAAAAUCGUGAUAAAUAUAUACCCCAAAAAAUGGUACACUACAUGACAGUGAAUCUCGUUGAACCUGACCUCGUAUAGGGGCACGACCGAAGGCUACAAGUAAUACGACUCAUGAUAUGAUAUAAAUAAAGUCGACUAACAUACUUCCUAAAAAACUCGUCUGUCGAUCUAGUUUCAGGUUUCCACACACACCCCUCUCUCAUCUCGGUUUCAAAAAAUCCUUCAAAAAGAUUGGGAUAUGCUUCCACCUGUUAUGUGCUCAUGUUCAUCCGAGGGUCCGACACUCUCACACAACCAUAAUCCGUUGAAGGCAUCCUCCUUCGAAGGAGACAAGGUCGGAUUCGUCAGCAAUCAACUAAGUCGAUUAGGCAGACGUGAAGCAAAAUUAAGGUAGUCACCGGGUAUCUCGUCAUAUGUUUCAUCAUGCAUUCUCCCGUUGAUAUCUGAUCCAUCGAUUUUUCUCGUUUAAUAGUUAAGAUUCAAAUAUCUGAAAUUAUCUGAUUUAAACUAUCAUCGGAAUCUAAUUUUGUAUACAGAAAUAGGUAUAUUCCAAAUUUAUACACAUGAACAAACCACACCUGUUGGUUGUCUGUUUGUCCGUUUCCACAGUUUGAACCAUGUUUUGUUUUGAAGCUGGCUGGUUGGUGUAUGGAGAGUUGCAGUCUUGCAGACCCCACGAGGGCCAUGACAGUAGUCAUUCAAAUUUCACCAUACCUGCAACACCACUGCUCGAAUCGGCCUCGUUUCUUUUCGCUAGACGACGCCAUGUAUGUUUCAAGCACUUCCAAGAUCAAACCCAUUUAGAUUCUGUCUUUAAAAGGACACAUGAUGCACGUCUCCAUGAAAACCAACAUGGUAAGCGAUCCUCCCAUUGACAACAAAUAACCCAAGUACUUAGGUCAUAGAAUCUGACAACCUAACCUACAUUUCAUCACAGUGUUUUCACCUGUAGGCUGAACCAGACAGACAGCAAUCUGAACUUUAAGAGCAUCACUGACCUAGCUAAGAUGGUGGUAUGUCCACUCACCAAUACCUAAUUCCUAAAUCUGCAGUUAAUUUGAGAGAAAGAAAAGAAAAACCCAUCUUUUUCUCUCAAGAAAUUUGCAGUGGAAAUAUGGAAUCUUUCUUUUAUCGAGGAAGGAUAGAAUGUGCAUGCAUGCAUGCAUGCAUGCAUUGGCCGGGCAGUAAUAUUGGAAUGCAUGCAUGCAUGAGUGAUUGAUGUUUGUCUGCAAAUUGCAAACCCUAGAAAAUUAUUUUAUGCUCGUGUAAAAGAUGUCGCCGAAAUAAUUGAAUUGUCUUCUGAAAAGUAGACAUGAAUCAAUAAUGGUUGAUGAAGGCAGCAAUGACCAUUAUAUUCAGGCUAGCCAGCCUAGUGAAUAUAGCUCGGUCCCCCCUUACGUCGUCUCUGAACGACUGUUCUAUCCAUUAUAAUCUGACAGCUUCGUUUGUACGUAUCUCACCGAAUCAGAUCAUAUCAGAUCAGGGUUUUUCGAUCUCACGUUAAUGGUCCGAUUAAACUAUUGGGUAGAGAUUCUUCUUAAUUGGGGAAGAGCAGCGGCCGGAGAAUCUUGUUGAUUAAUUGGGCACACGAAUAUAUAUGAGAUUGAGUCUACCGACGUACAGACAUAAUUAUAUUUACAUUUACAGAAUUACGGUAGCUAAGGAUAGAUAGAUAGAUAGAUAGAUAGAUAUAUAUAUAUUUGGGGAUUCCAUGGUUGGAUGAUCAGGUUAGUUAAUCAGAUCGUUAUUAGAGGAUUAGUCUCGUGUGCUGAGAUCGAAGUAAUGGUGUCGGGAACACACGAGAUGUGGAUUUCGUCAAGAUCGACGUUGAGUUUGGGGUCGGUGAUUGUCGGAAUUGUGGAAGAAGCCUUGGUUAGUUCUCUUGCUCUGUCCAUCUCCACAGUCCAAUCCAUCCUGAUGAGAACGAAUAACAUCAUCGCUGCGCAGGUGAGUUGUGCGGCGAGCAUACCUAACCACAGACCGGGAAACCCCAGUCUGGCCACGAAGCCGAGGAGAAUCGCUAUCGGCAUUCCGACGAGGUAGAAGGAUCCGAAGUUGAUAUUUGCGGCGGUGGUUGGACGUGCGGUUCCACGAAGCACUCCGCAGCCUGUGGUCUGCGGGCAGUUACCCAGUUCGCAUAGACCGACGAUGGGGAGUGUGAGUGCUGUCAACCCUAAUAUCUCACUGUCUGAUGUGAACAUCUUCCCCCAGGGGUUUCUCACGCAAGUUGCGAACAAAGUGGCGGUGAACCCAAUGAUCAUGGAGAAAGUGAGUCCUACUAUGGCGGAAAUUCGACCUUUUUCCGGACGAUUGGCGCCGAGCUCGUUACCCACGCGGGUGGAGACACCGAGGCUGAGUGAUGAAGGGAAUACGUAGAUCAAAGAAGUUGCCUGGAUAAGAAUCCCCAUGGAUGCAACGGUUGACUUUGGGUUAUCCAGAAGCCCACACAGUAUGAUCAUAAGCUCGUACCACCACCACUCCAAACAGACCGAAGCACAGGUGGGCAGCGCGAGACGGAGGAGCGACGACCACCCUCUGAAACAUUCGAUGCAUGGACGAACCCACGAGUCUUCAAGAACCGUGGAGAUGCAUAGAACGUAGAUGAGCAAGAAAGCCAGGAGAUUUAAAUCAGUCAAGACCAUGGAGACUGCCACUCCGGCGAUACCCAUUCGGAAAUGCACCACCAGAAGGUAGUUGAGAGGGACAUGGAGGAUAACAGAGAUGGUCGAACAGUAGGUGAGAGGGAGAGUCACGUUUUGCGACCUUAGGUAGACUCGUAUAGGGUGGAGGAAGGAGAGUAUGAAGAGAUCGGGUAUAGCAAAGGCAAGGAAAACAGCCGUCACCGACGAGAUUUCGCCGUCCUGUCCGCAAAACACGAGUAUUCUUCCGACGUUCAACCAGAGUAAAGCUAUCGGCACCGAUGCGAAGAGGAGGAGUAACACCGUCCGUUGAAGAGUAAGAGACAUAAGCUUCUUCUGGUUCGCUCCGAAAGCUUGUCCGCAGAUGGGUUCCAUACCCAUCGCCAGACCAGACAGAACGGAAUAACCGGUGAUGUUCGCGAAACCGAUGGAUAAAGAACCACCCGCCAACUCCAGCUCACCUAAGUAACCCAAGAAUAGCAUCGAGAUCAUGGACCGCGAGUAAAGCACGAGUCCCGUCAACGCCGUCGGAAUCGAAAUCCUCCCGAUCGCUCUCAUUUCCUCCACCACCUGAAAUCAAAUCAAAUUUUGAAUUGGUAAUGCAAGCAUAUGUAAUAAUGAAGCGGUGCAAAUUGAAUUAAGUUGGUUCAUAUAUGUAGGUAGAAACUCAAACCUGAGAUGUAGUAGGGCAUCUACGGAGCAGCUGAUCUCCAUGGUCGGUGGUGGUGGUACCGGUACGGCCGAGAAUAUUGGGAUUGAAGGGAUGGUGUAGAUAGUUGAGAGAGGAAGAAGACGGUGAAGCGAUUACGUUGCACAUCUCCACCAAGUUGGGACUUUGGACGUACUGAUCGAUCGAUCGAUCUAGCUGUAAGUUUGAAAAAAAAGAGUGGGGGUCUGGUUACUACUUAUACGGACAGAUUUAUCCGGUCGACACCUGGACGUAUUACCAUGCUUUUUCUGAUCAUCUCCGGACAAAAUACGUGUCGAUUUAAUGGCUGUUCAAAAUCAAACAUAUAAGGCCAUACCACUGCUGCUUCUCUAUUGCUGAUAAUAUGCUUAAUUUGUCCUCUUUCACGUCAUCAUCAUCGACACCCAAUACUCCAAAUCUAAUCUAAUCUUCUUCUAAUCAGGAAUUUAGAACUGGUUCUUGCUGUUUUUUUUCAAUUCUAUCGAUCACCACCGUCCAGUCCAAUUCAGCACCGUCAAAUAUUGGUACCAUCACUGUGUAAUAUUAUUCCUUUUUGCCCACCAAAACUCCAGAUGCGUAAUCAAUGCACUGCUAUGUUGGAAUCUUUAGGGAAAUGCGGUGCUCCUGUCUGAUGUCUCCCUUCAAUUCCUUCAACUUUAAACACCAACCCAAUAUAAUUAAGAAACACCAGUAUCUCUCUCGAUCAUUAAAGUAGCUACCUGACUUGCCCAGUUGCCAGAGAAUCAGAGAAAUAAAUCACCGCAUAAACCUUCACACAAUCAAACCGCAUAAGCUAACUAGCUUUAAUUGGCUUUGAUCGGAAUUGGGUUGGGUUAGAUUUUAACCGGUGUUGGACGUAAGGGAGCAUUAAUAGAAAACAAUGUUGGGUUCAAUCACAUCAUUAGACAUGCACCCUACUUCCAUAGCAAAAAUAUUAAAAUAUGCAUGCAGCCAGGCAGGCACGCACUCCGAUGCUAUUACUACGUAAAUCGAUCCGUCACUGCCAACUUAAUUUACCUGGAACCGAACCUACUUGGUACGUAUAUAAUGACGGACACCUGAUCAUCGACCUCCAAAUUAUGUGCAUGCUGUCACAGUGACGCUAUUCUAUCUCUCCAUACCUAAAUUCUAAGGUUUAUCAAUUAUAUGAAUACUCUUAAUCAAAUCUUCUUCGAGGGUUAAUCAAUUGUUUUCACAAUUACCGUUCUUAAUCGUCUUCUGCAUGCAUUAUCUAUUUAUCUGUAGUUCUGAACUGACCUGUGACUUUGAAAAAAGAAGGGGGGAAAAAUGGUGGAGCAGUGAAAUCCCGUGACAUUUGAAAGAAAGAUCGAUGUUUCCAAUUUCGAUCUUAUCAGUAGGAGUCGCUUCAGUCAAUUUUAUCUUCAGUUAAACAGUGAUUUGCACAUAUACCUAUGAAUUAAUGUAGCUUAUAGACCUAGGAAUUGCAUGUCCAUCUCAUUAUUAUUUCAACUUUAACUACAAUUUUUAAAAAAAAAAAUCUUAAACCUUGGUAAUUUUUUUUGAAAAAACUUUCCAUUUUAACCAAUAAAUUAUACAACAGUUUUUUAAAUCAUUUAAAAUUCAAUAUCAAAAUUAU
rnacentral:lncRNA from 1 species